CAAAAACAAAUGGUCUUGCUGUGAAGAGAAAUGCUACUAUUUUUCUGAUAUACUUAAAACCUUCGAAGAGAGUCGGAAAUUCUGCUCCAACCAGGGGUCCCAUCUGUUGAAGAUAGAAGAUGAGGAUGAACAGGAAUUUAUUCAGUCUUUGGUGUCUUAUUUUUCUUGGAUUGGAUUAUCUCGAAAAGGAAUUGUCAGCCCCUGGAAGUGGGAAGAUGGUUCUUUGCUAGAAAAUAAACUAAAUCUGCAGAAUUCAAACAUAAACAACAACAACUGUGCAUAUGUUGCAGCAAACAAAGUAGCUGCCUCAGUGUGCACCAAGC